UUUAUUCUUUUAACACAUUAUUAAAUUGUUGAAGGCUACUUGUUGACAUCUGUAGAUUUUAACAACCAACGGACUACAUAUCUGUCCCAGCAAACAUUUUGGACUCAGGUGUAACUACUAAAGGCUGCGAUAUGUUCAGUUGUUUCAGUCCCAACGCUCUGACACGGCAUGCUGGUUGGUUGGCGGGUAAACCUAAACGGAACGGGGCCAUAUUGAUGAGAUUGCCUACACCUGGCCCUUCUGCAGUAAUUCAAAAUGUCUGCUGUGAUGAAGGUGUGUUACACAAGUGAGGAAUGAAAAGAGGUUAUUUAUUUUCAGUUGGUAUUUCAGAGAACAAAAUAAUUGAGCUGGUAAACAACAUAUAAUCCGGGAUACUGCGCCUGCAUUGUUGGAUUUAUGUGAAGUUAAGCUACAGGAAAACCGAGGGCAGAGCAGCUGGAAGGAGACUGGAAAACCAAACAGCCUGUCCGUCUGCUACCUGAUCCGUCCGUCCUCUCUGGGCGGGGUCAGUUCAGACUUGGUGUCGGGGCUGGCAGCGCUCCAGACGGUGAGACGACAGCGCUGCAUGACGGGACAGGCGCUGGGUCCCAUCGAGCAGACGUCUGCGGCCGACCAGUGGCCCUCCAGCAGCCAGUCCAGCCAGCGGCGCAGCGGCACCCCCGUCAGGGCAGCGUUGGCCUCAGCCUCCUCCACGGCGCCCAGACUCACAGGCAGCCGAAGCACCGGGUUCAGGCCGUGGAAACUCUGCUCCAUGUAGGAAUUUCUGGCUGGGCCACCGUGCAACCGCAGGGCAUCCUCUGGAUCCCAGGACAAGUGUGACGUGUUUGGAACGCUCACCUUGCUGUAAAGGCUGCUGUCGGUGGAACUCCAGCGGAGCCACGAUGAAGCUGGUCUGACCCAGCGGGUUCCAGUGAUGCAGCACCCUCAGCGUCCACAAGCCGGGCCUCAAGGGCAGGGUGAGCGGUGGCCGGUAGUGGGUGACCUCAGCCGAGGCGUCAACCAGGAUGUCGUAAGUGGCAGCGAUGACGUUGGUGGGGUCGAUCCACACCACAGUAGCCGUCAGGUUGCUCUGGCUUCGGCUCCAGCGCUGCACGGCCACCGGCUCGUCCUUGGGGCCCAGCAGACCCCCCCAGUUCCUGAAGAGACGCUCCUUAGGAUCCCAGUCCGCCCCAACCUGAACAACAGGAAGAGUUUCAGGAUCGCCCUGUUUGCACUGACUCAGAUUCUGAUUGCAGGGACAGUUUAGAUUGUAUCUGGCAAAAUCUGCUGAAAAUUAUUUUAUAAAUGGCUUCCAGUUGAUUUUAGCCUUGAUUUUAAGGUUUCAAUCAAUUUAAAGUUGUACUCAUUAUUUUUAAAGCUGUCUGGCUCCAGUAUACAUGUGGGAGCUUUUCUGCCCAUACUGCUACUACUAUACUACCUUUUGUCGAUGACUUUAUUUCCAUCUAAAGAACCUUAUUUUCUAUUUCAGUCGUCUUAGUUUUUUCCUAAUCAUUUAUUUUAUUGCCAUGUGUUCUUUUGUGAAGCACUUUGUAAAAAGGUCCUUAUCACAACUGUGUGACUUCAUUUUCUAUCUUAAUCUUACAAAUGCUAAUGUUUCAUACCAAACAAUUCAUCCACUGAUAUUAGUAUAUAGAAGCUAAAUUGUUUUGUAUAAUGCUUUCGCAUUUUUUAGCCCAAAAUACUUUCUCAAACCAUAAGUAGCAUGCAAUUGUUAAACUUCUCCAAAAAUCGCAAAUGGGGAACAAAAGACAAAUUCUGAGGUAUUUGCUUUUCAACUGACUGCAAUAAAGUGCAGAUUUUAAAUCUGUGCUUUACAUGUUUAUAAAUAAAACACUUAAAUUGA